rnacentral:rRNA from 1 species
GACGAACGCUGGCGGCGUGCUUAACACAUGCAAGUCGAACGGAAAGGCCCUGCUUGCAGGGUACUCGAGUGGCGAACGGGUGAGUAACACGUGGGUGAUCUCCCCUGCACUUCGGGAUAAGCCUGGGAAACUGGGUCUAAUACCGGAUAGGAGCCAUUUUUAGUGUGAUGGUUGGAAAGUUUUUUCGGUGUAGGAUGAGCUCGCGGCCUAUCAGCUUGUUGGUGGGGUAAUGGCCUACCAAGGCGGCGACGGGUAGCCGGCCUGCGAGGGUGGACGGCCACAUUGGGACUGAGAGACGGCCCAGACUCCUACGGGAGGCAGCAGUGGGGAAGAUUGCACAAUGGGCGCAAGCCUGAUGCAGCGACGCCGCGUGGGGGAGGACGGCCUUCGGGUUGUAAACUCCUUUCGCUAGGGACGAAGCUUUUUGUGACGGUACCUAGAUAAGAAGCACCGGCUAACUACGUG